CAAGGUUGAGGUAGUAGGUUGUAUAGUUGAGAGUUACACCCCCAGAGAUAACUGUACAGCCUCCUAGCUUUCCCUG
rnacentral:pre_miRNA from 1 species